rnacentral:rRNA from 1 species
GUGCCAGCAGCCGCGGUAAUACGUAGGGUGCAAGCGUUAAUCGGAAUUACUGGGCGUAAAGCGUGCGCAGGCGGUCUUGUAAGACAGAGGUGAAAUCCCCGGGCUCAACCUGGGAACUGCCUUUGUGACUGCAAGGCUUGAGUACGGUAGAGGGGGAUGGAAUUCCGCGUGUAGCAGUGAAAUGCGUAGAUAUGCGGAGGAACACCGAUGGCGAAGGCAAUCCCCUGGACCUGUACUGACGCUCAUGCACGAAAGCGUGGGGAACAAACAGGAUUAGAUACCCUGGUAGUCCACGCCCUAAACGAUGUCAACUGGUUGUUGGGUCUCUUCUGACUCAGUAACGAAGCUAACGCGUGAAGUUGACCGCCUGGGGAGUACGGCCGCAAGGUUGAAACUCAAAUGAAUUGACGG